UACAGAGGGGGCAAGCGUUAUUCGGAAUUACUGGGCGUAAAGGGCGCGUAGGCGGUUCUUUAAGUCGGAUGUGCAAUCCCCGAGCUCAACUUGGGAACUGCAUCCGAAACUGGGGAGCUAGAGUACUGGAGAGGGUGGUAGAAUUCCACGUGUAGCGGUGAAAUGCGUAGAGAUGUGGAGGAAUACCAGUGGCGAAGGCGGCCACCUGGACAGUAACUGACGCUGAGGCGCGAAAGUGUGGGUAGCAAACAGG
rnacentral:rRNA from 1 species